AUGGGCAUGGAGGGGUGCUGCGACAAGAAGGUGAUGGAGGAGGAGGCCCUGGUGAAGAAGAUCACCGGCCUCGCCGCGGCCAUCGGCGAGCUGCCCUCGCUGAGCCCGUCGCCGGCGGUGAACGCGCUCUUCACCGAGCUGGUGACGUCCUGCAUCCCGGCGAGCACCGUGGACGUGGACGCGCUGGGCCCGGAGGCGCAGGAGAUGCGCGCCCGCCUCAUCCGCCUCUGCGCCGACGCCGAGGGCCACCUGGAGGCGCACUACUCCGACCUCCUCGCCGCGCACGACAACCCGCUCGACCACCUCACCCUCUUCCCCUACUUCAACAACUACAUCAAGCUCAGCCAGCUGGAGCACGGCCUCCUCGCCCGCCACGUCCCGGGCCCCGCCCCGGCCCGCGUCGCCUUCCUCGGCUCCGGCCCGCUGCCGCUCAGCUCCCUCGUGCUCGCGGCGCGCCACCUCCCCGACGCCUCCUUCGACAACUACGACAUCUCCGGCGAGGCCAACGAGCGCGCCAGCCGGCUCGUGCGCAACGACGCCGACGCCGGCGCGCGCAUGGCGUUCCGCACCGCCGACGUGGCCGACGUGACGACCGAGCUGGCGGGGUACGACGUGGUGUUCCUGGCGGCGCUGGUGGGCAUGGCCGCCGAGGAGAAGGCGCGCCUGGUGGAGCACCUCGGGAGGCACAUGGCCCCCGGCGCGGCGCUCGUGGUGCGGAGCGCGCACGGCGCGCGCGGCUUCCUGUACCCGGUGGUGGACCCCGAGGAGAUCCGGCGAGGCGGGUUCGAGGUGCUCACCGUGCACCACCCGGAGGACGAGGUGAUCAACUCCGUCAUCAUCGCGCGCAAGGCGGCGGCGCCGGCGGCCGUUGCCGCCGACGGCGACGUGCCGGUGAACAACGGCGGCAUGCCGGCGCAGUGCGCGGUGGCGGUGAGCAGACCGUGCCUCGGCUGCGCCUGCGAGCUGGGGACGAGGGCGCACCAGAAGAUGAAGGAGAUGGCCAUGGAGGAGAUGGAGGCGUAGGCAUCGGCAUCGCCAGCAGACAUCGGCAUCGCCCAGAGCACGGUGAUGAAUUCACCGACCGAUUAAUAUUUGCCCGAUUAAUCCGCGACCGAUACAUACAUGCAUGGUAAUAAUUCGCUUGUCCUCAUGCAUGGAUGGAUGUGGCUACCUAUUUACCACCAUAAUUAUUAAUCCUUGCCUGCGUAUGGCUGGCUGGAUUAUUUAUUUUCUACCGUAAUUGUGCCGUGUUUGUUUUAGCAAUCGUCUGACAGCUGCUGCAUGCCUCCGGGUUUAACAUAGAGGAGGAGGAUGAUAUGUGUCGUGUUGUGUUGUGGUGAGAUCGAGUCGAGUCGAGUUGCCUGCCUGCUGUUGUAAUAAGUGAUUUUGACACUCUAUAUGACUGAAGUGAUCAUCACCAAUGCAAGAAGUGCAACACCUAUGCUUUCUUAAUUGAUUCCCUUGUUUCAAC
rnacentral:rRNA from 1 species